GAACAUGGCCAUAUCAUCCUGCAGCCCAAGACCGGUUACUCACUGAAACUAAGCAGGGCUGAGCCUGGUCACUACCUGAAUGGGAGACCACAUGGGAAAACUAGUGGUGUUGGUGA
ensembl:rRNA 5S_rRNA 5S ribosomal RNA